rnacentral:rRNA from 1 species
AUGGGGACGCUAUGUUUCUUCCGCUUCUGGCUCGGCUUCGGCGUCGGCGGCGACUACCCUCUGAGCGCCACCAUCAUGUCGGAGUAUGCUAACAAGAAGACCCGUGGCACAUUUAUCGCCGCCGUGUUUGCCAUGCAGGGGUUUGGCAUCCUAUUUGGUACUAUCGUCAUGAUCAUCGUCUCGUCCGCAUUCCGACACGCAUUCCCUGCACCGCCAUUCUACAUUGACGCCGCGGCGUCCAUUGGCCCGGAGGCCGACUACGUGUGGCGCAUCAUCGUCAUGUUCGGCACCAUCCCGGCCGCCCUGACCUACUACUGGCGCAUGAAGAUGCCCGAAACUGCGCGGUACACAGCACUCAUCCCCGGCAACACGAAGCAAGCCACAUCAGACAUGUCCAAGGUGCUCAACAAGGAGAUCUCAGAGGAGGAUGUGCAGGGUGAGCGUGCCACUGGUGAUACUUGGGGCCUCUUCUCGCAACAGUUCAUGAAGCGCCACGGGGUGCACUUGCUAGCGACCACAAGCACUUGGUUCCUGCUCGAUCUGGCCUUCUACAGCCAGAACCUGUUUCAAAAGGACAUCUUCACCAAGAUCGGGUGGAUCCCGCCGGCCAAGACUAUGAAUGCAUUGGAGGAGUUGUACCGCAUCGCCCUCGCCCAAGCGCUCAUCGCGCUCUGCGGCACCGUGCCCGGCUACUGGUUCACCGUCGCCUUCAUCGACAUCAUCGGCAGGUUUUGGAUCCAGCUCAUGGGAUUCACCAUGAUGACCAUUUUCAUGCUCGCAAUCGCCAUACCUUACGACUACUUGGUGAAGCCAGGGCACCAUACCGGCUUCGUCGUGCUCUAUGGGCUCACUUUCUUCUUCGCCAACUUCGGCCCCAACAGCACAACCUUUAUUGUGCCAGCCGAGAUCUUCCCUGCGAGGCUUCGGUCCACAUGCCACGGUAUCUCUGCCGCUACCGGUAAGGCGGGCGCGAUCAUCGGCGCGUUCGGGUUCCUGUAUGCGUCGCAGGACCAGAAGAAGCCCGAGACCGGCUACUCGCGGGGAAUCGGCAUGCGCAACGCACUCUUUGUGCUCGCAGGCACAAACUUUGGGCCUGCUCUUUUCCUUGUUGGUGCCAGAGUCUAA